AGAUUGAACGCUGGCGGCAGGCCUAACACAUGCAAGUCGAGCGGUAGAGAGGUGCUUGCACCUCUUGAGAGCGGCGGACGGGUGAGUAAUGCCUAGGAAUCUGCCUAGUGGUGGGGGAUAACGUUCGGAAACGGACGCUAAUACCGCAUACGUCCUACGGGAGAAAGCGGGGGACCUUCGGGCCUCGCGCCAUUAGAUGAGCCUAGGUCGGAUUAGCUAGUUGGUGAGGUAAUGGCUCACCAAGGCGACGAUCCGUAACUGGUCUGAGAGGAUGAUCAGUCACACUGGAACUGAGACACGGUCCAGACUCCUACGGGAGCAGCAGUGGGGGAAUAUUGGACAAUGGGACGAAAGCCUGAUCC
rnacentral:rRNA from 1 species